rnacentral:rRNA from 1 species
AGCGGCGGACGGGUGAGUAACGCGUGGGUAACUGCCUCAUACAGGGGGAUAACAGUUGGAAACGGCUGCUAAUACCGCAUAAGCGCACAGUACCGCAUGGUACCGUGUGAAAAACUCCGGUGGUAUGAGAUGGACCCGCGUCUGAUUAGCUAGUUGGUGGGGUAACGGCCUACCAAGGCGACGAUCAGUAGCCGACCUGAGAGGGUGACCGGCCACAUUGGGACUGAGACACGGCCCAA